CCUACGGGAGGCAGCAGUGAGGAAUAUUGGUCAAUGGGCGGAAGCCUGAACCAGCCAAGUAGCGUGCAGGAUGACGGCCCUACGGGUUGUAAACUGCGUUUAUAAGGGAAUAAGGCGCAGGACGGGUAGGGCGUUGAAUGGACGGUAUGAAGAAGGACAGGCUAAGUCCGUGCCAGCAGCCGCGGUAAUACGGACGGUCCGGGCGUUAUCCGGAUUGAUUGGGUUUAAAGGGAGCGUAGGGGGCCUGUCAAGGGUGCUGUGAAAUGUCCGGGCUCAACCCGGGCCUUGCAGCGCGUACUGGCGUGCUUGAGUCCUCUGGAGGCAGGCGGAAUUC
rnacentral:rRNA from 1 species